rnacentral:lncRNA from 1 species
ACAUAUGUUCAUGUUACAAUAUCUCCAUAUUACAACCUCUUAAGAAAGCUAUACAAAGUUCACUCAUUUUUUAUUCUAAGCAAUCCUACGUAAGGAGUCCUAAGCGCUCUACUCUUGUAACGCCUUCGUGACCCCAUCCUCACAUAUGUCUUCAUUGGAGGAGGAUCGGUGGAGUGCCUGCAAUCACUGACCAGUGCUCCUUUCUCAAACGUUUGUUCAAACCAGAGAUGUACUUUGUUCAAACUGAGUGACGAACCGUCAACUGCAUACAAAUUCCAAAAACCAAAACUUAAAAACCCUAAAUCAGAAAAAACAUACAAAACCCAAACUCGAAACACCAAACGAUAAACAUCAAAACCCACAAAAGAACGCNCUUACCCUGCUCGAAGAACUGGCCAUUUCGCAAAAACGAGCACACCAAGAACCAAAACAUGCAAUGACCGCCACACCCACAACGAUAACUUCCUUCAACACGGCAACGAAAACGAC